rnacentral:rRNA from 1 species
CCUACGGGAGGCAGCAGUGAGGAAUAUUGGUCAAUGGGCGAAAGCCUGACGCAGCGACGCCGCGUGAGGGAUGAAGGUCUUCGGAUCGUAAACCUCUGUCAGCAGGGAAGAACGGUCACUGUGCUAAUCAGCAGUGAAUUGACGGUACCUGCAAAGGAAGCACCGGCUAACUCCGUGCCAGCAGCCGCGGUAAUACGGAGGGUGCGAGCGUUAAUCGGAAUUACUGGGCGUAAAGCGCUCGUAGGCGGUAUGGCAAGUCAAGGGGGAAAUCCCCGGGCUCAACGUGGGAACUGCCUUUGAAACUGGCAAACUGGAGUGUGUGAGAGGAUAGUGGAAUUCCAGGUGUAGGAGUGAAAUCCGUAGAUAUCUGGAGGAACAUCAGUGGCGAAGGCGACUAUCUGGCACAUAACUGACGCUGAGGAGCGAAAGCGUGGGUAGCAAACAGGAUUAGAUACCCCAGUAGUC